UACGGAGGUCCCAAGCGUUGUUCGGAUUCACUGGGCGUAAAGGGCGCGUAGGCGGUCGGGAAAGUCUGAUGUGGAAUCUCGGGGCUUAACCCCGAAACUGCAUUGGAUACUAUUCGGCUUGAGGAAUGGAGGGGAGACUGGAAUGCUCGGUGUAGCAGUGAAAUGCGUAGAUAUCGGGCGGAACACCAGUGGCGAAGGCGAGUCUCUGGACAUUUCCUGACGCUGAGGCACGAAAGCCAGGGGAGCAAACGGG
rnacentral:rRNA from 1 species